GGAUCCGGCCACUGUAUCCCGCGCAAGAAAGACUCACAGAGGUAUUACUGGGAGUGAUUUCACGCUUGUUUGCACACGUCCCGGAGUCCUUAUGGGACAGUAUAGGGACGGUUUGGCUGACCAGCUUGGGUUCAGCCCCAGGAUUGCUCCUUUUUGUUGGUGCUCUAUAACAUUCCUUUGGAUGUAUGGUAUGGCUAAGGGUUGAGCCUCAGCUAUUGCAAGAUUGCAGGUGUCGGUAUAAUCAGACUAGCAAUCGCACUCCGAUCAGGUUAUGCAGACCGUUGCAAACGAACUGCACAAACAGUUCUUUACCAUGUCAAGGUGUCAUGAGAGCCUGAGGCCUUCGUAAUGUGCACUGCCGUGCUUGGGUGAAAAGACUAGGGAGGGCCCACAGCCCGGUCUGCAGCUACGCCGUACGCAUGGUUUGCUUGGGAAGACCGGAGUCCUCGAUCGACUUGCUUUCUCUGGUC